rnacentral:rRNA from 1 species
UACGGAGGGUGCUAGCGUUGUUCGGAAUUACUGGGCGUAAAGCGUACGUAGGCGGUUUGACAAGUUGGAAGUGAAAGCCCAAGGCUUAACCUUGGAACUGCUUUCAAAACUGUCAGACUAGAGAAUGGUAGGGGAAAGUGGAAUUCCUAGUGUAGAGGUGAAAUUCGUAGAUAUUAGGAGGAACACCAGAGGCGAAAGCGGCUUUCUGGACCAUUUCUGACGCUAAGGUACGAAAGCGUGGGGAGCAAACAGG